rnacentral:rRNA from 1 species
AACGAACGCUGGCGGCAUGCCUAACACAUGCAAGUCGAACGAAGCCUUCGGGCUUAGUGGCGCACGGGUGCGUAACACGUGGGAAUCUGCCCUUCGGUUCGGAAUAACAGUUAGAAAUGACUGCUAAUACCGGAUGAUGACGAAAGUCCAAAGAUUUAUCGCCGAAGGAUGAGCCCGCGUAGGAUUAGGUAGUUGGUAGGGUAAUGGCCUACCAAGCCGACGAUCCUUAGCUGGUCUGAGAGGAUGAUCAGCCACACUGGGACUGAGACACGGCCCAGACUCCUACGGGAGGCAGCAGUGGGGAAUAUUGGACAAUGGGCGAAAGCCUGAUCCAGCAAUGCCGCGUGAGUGAUGAAGGCCUUAGGGUUGUAAAGCUCUGUCGGGAGGGACGAAGGGGAAACCCUGACGGUACCUCGCAAGAAAGCACCGGCUAACUCUGUGCCAGCAGCCGCGGUAAU